rnacentral:lncRNA from 1 species
GACAGGCUUUCUUGCUCUAAUGUCUCUCCUCUGACAUUGUCCAGAAGGGGGAAAUUUGUCCUGUAAAAUAGACUUCUAGAGCUCUUAUUGUCCCCUCUGCUCCCACGCACCCUCUCCUUCCAAGUCCUUUAGCAAGGUCUGGAUGAAAUUGAUCUGCUGACGAGAGGGACCAAAGUGGGUGUUCGGUCCCCAGGGAGCAAGGUUUAAUUGCUAUGUUGUGUGCAAUGUUGUUUUAGGCUAACCCUGGUCCCAAGGCCAGUCUUUUAUCCAUCCCUACCGUGUCCAGACUUCCCAAUU